GACCUUCCCUCCACUAUUGUCCUAUGACCCCGCCAAAUCCCCCUCUGCGAGAAACACCCAAGAAUGAUCAAUUAAAAAAAAAAAAAAAAGAGGAGACAGUAUUUCUGUCAAAAAUGCUCCCCACACCCAGCCCUGAGCUCUGUUAACUCCAACUGACACUUCCAGUCUCUGUUCCAAUGCUGCUUCCUGGGAGCUCUCUCUGACACUACAGUGUAGGUCAGAUUCCUUGGUUAAAGACUAUCAUGGAACUAGGUUCCUUCCUUUGGUUCCUGUAAUUAGAUUCUCAUUGCUAUAAUUAGUUGAUUAAUGUGUAUCCACCCAGCUAGACUAGAAGCUCUUUGAGAACAGAGACCAUGUUUAUGUGGGGAUCCUCACUGCCUAGUCAAUGAAUUUAAACUGAGUAGAUGUACAGAUGAAUUCAAACCAGAGAAUGUAAACCAGAAUAAGAAUUUUAUUUAGUCUUCCAUUUCCAAUAUUAAUAGUAUAUUUGUCUUUGGCCUGUAAGUGAUUGGGGAAAAAUUAAAAAAAAAUUUUUUUUAAUGUGUGGGUUAUAGAGUAAAAUGGAAAGAAACUGAGGGCCUGUCAAUGUAGCAGUUGUUGACCAAACAUCUGUCAAGAACAAUAGAAACAGGGUGGCCAGGGGUGGUGGCUCAUGCCUGUAAUCCCAGCAUUUUAGGAGGCCAAGGUGGGAGGGAGUAUUGCCUUAGCCCAGGAGUUUGAGACCUGCCCGGGCAACAUGGUGAAACCCCGUCUCUACCAAAAAUACAAAAAUUAGCCGGUGUGGUGGUGCACACCUGUGAUCCCAGCGACUCAGGAGGCAGAGGUGGGAGGAUCGCUUGAGUCCAGAGGCAGAGGUUGCAGUGAGCCAAGAUCGCGCCACUGCACUCCAGCCUGGGUGACAGAGUGAGACCCUUUCUCCAAACAAACAAACAAAAAGAACGAUAGAACAGGUUUGGUUUGACUGAAAGAGUGGAGAAAGUUCAAAACAUUCUUAGAAUAGGGGAGGUGAUUUUUUUUUUUUUUAAGUAAAAAAGAAAAAGAGGAAAAAGAAACUUUGAAACAAAUGCCAGGAUUAUAUGACAAGGUAUCCAUGAGAACUCAAUAAAGAGUCCAUUGAGGUCAGUCAGCACGUUAGCCUCUUAAAGGAUUUAAAAGGUCACACAGUAAAGAAAACCUAUUUGAAUGUGUUUAAUCCUACAUUCCUCAAACUUUUUUGGAUCUGAAUUUUCCACCCAUAUACCACAUUUUGUAAAAUGAAAAAGUUCUGAGCAUCAGACUGAGUACAGAUAAGAUAACUUCAAGACUACCCUGGGCAACUUAGUGAGACUGGGUCUCUACAAAAAAAAAAAAAAAAUACAAAAAUUAGCUGGGCAUUGUGAUACAUGCCUGGAGUCCUACUACUCAGGAGGCUAAGGCAGGAGGAUGGCUUAGGGUUAGGAACUCAAGGCUGCAGUGAGCUAUGACUGCACUAUGACUACACUCCAGCCUGAGUGACAGAGCCAGACCCUGUCUCUAAAAUUCAUAAAAAAUAAAUAAAGGAUGCCUAAGUUCUAGUCCCAGCUCUGCUGGACUUCAAUUCCCUCACCUGAAAUAAAAGGGUUACGUUAGACAAUUUCUAAGGUCUUUUUCAGCCUGAGAUUUUACAACUUUGGAGCAUGUUCUCAAAUGCACGUUGUUUAUAGAUGGCAAAAAAAAAAAAAAAAAAAAUGUACCAUGUAAGUUGGUUAUCCCAUUAAGGCAUAAAUUUUGGAUUGUGAAAAUACCUCUACAGUAAGAUGCAAGAUUUGCAUACUGGCCAGAAAGGGCAAGUAGGACACUGUAGUUGACACAUGGCCCAACUAUGUGCUCUGUUAUAACUUUUUUUUUUCUACUGAGUUAACAGGAUAAACAACACCAGAAAUAGACAUAAUUUACCCCAGGAUUGAAAACUCUCCAGUCUGCCUGAACAUUUCCAAUAUUAAAGAAAAGGUCAACCAAAGGUCCAGAUCUACAAAAUCACCUGCAUUUCAUCUGAAAUGAAAUUCUUGACAAUGGAUUCAAAUAUAUACAUGCUAUGAUGGCAAUUUUUGGAAACUGCCAUCACAUUUUCAACAAAAUUCUAAGAUUAAUGACAUUUACUAAAGAAAAAGUAAAAGAAAUAAAAACUUUCUAAAAAUUCUUCUGGGGUCUAUUUAAAAUAAUCUGAUAAAAGCCUCUCUGGAUUCCAAAAAGGCAUGUGAAGUGAGUAUUAAUUAGCAAUUUAAUUAGUGUUAGAUUUUAAGCUGUGACAACUAUAUCCUCACAUUCUAGCAGAAUGACUAGCACAAAAUAAGUCUCAAGUAGUGUUUUUAAUGACUAAAGUGCUUAUUUUCACUAUCACAAUGAUUUUAUAUUAAUCAAAUUUAUAAUUCAGUAAACUGUGCCUUUAUGUGUCCUACGUAUUCAUUAUAUUGAGAAUCCAGCUUCAGUCAUUAACACAGUUAUGUCAUUUGUCACAUUAUACAUGUACUUUAUUAGUCUAAGCAUAAAUCUGAUCUCUUUUGCUAGUUGCUGUUCAACUUUAAAACUGCUCUUGACCUUAAUAGACUAAUGUUAUAUAAUAUUACAUACUCUAAUAUUACAUACAAGAAAAUACAGCCAGUACUCAGAGAAAAUAAGCCAUACAGAUACAGAAAAAUAGCCAUGUUACAAAAGAAUAAAGCAACAAAAUGUUGCUAGAGAAUAAAAACUAGUUAUCUGUAUCCAAACUUAUGAAAAUUAUUUGAGGACAUCAAUUCCUCCAUUUGCCCUGAAAAAAACAUUUAAAUGAAGUAUCAUAAACUAUCAAUAACCCUUAAAUUUGUAUCAUAAACUAUCAAUAACUCUUAUCAUUCAAGAUUAAUUAAAAGCAUAAUAAAUUUUUUAAACCUUUUUUUUUCUUUUUUCUUGAGACAGGGUCUUGCUCUGUCACCCAGGCUUGAGUGCAGUGGCACAAUCUCGGCUCACUACAGUCUCGACCUCCUGGGCUCAAGCAAUUCUCCCACCUCAAUCUCCCAAGUAGCUGGGACUAUAGGCAUGUGCCACCACCUCUGGCUAAUUUUUGUAUUUUUUUUUUUUUGUAGAGACUGGGUUUCACCAUGUUGCCCAGGCUGGUCUUGAACUCCUGGGCUCAAGCAAUCUAUCCACCUCGGCCUCCUCACGUGCUGAGAUUACAGCUGUGAGCCACUGCACCUGGCCAAAAACAAUUCUUAUUUUUAGAUUAUGAUCUUUAUAUAGUUCUCAACAUACUCUAUUGAGUUUUGGGGGUUCACAGUCAAAAUGGAUCUGGGAAGUUAGUUUAAAAGUUGUUAGGCAAGUAACUCCCUUUAGCAAGCUCAUGUGUUAGGACUGUGCCCUUUUGUACAGCCUAUCUCAUAGAAAGCACUGAGUUAUUUUUCCUUUUUAACUUUAUCACUUAUUUAUUUAGAGACCAAGGUGUUGUGCUAUUGCCCAGGCUGAAGCACAGUGACACAAUCAUGGCUCACUGCAACCUCAACCUUCGGGGCUCAUGUGAUCCUCCCACCUCAGCCUCCCAAAUAGUUGGGAACACAGGCACAAGCCACCAUGCCCAGCUAAUUUUUAAUUUUUUUGUAGAGAUGAAAUCUCCCUAUGUUGCCCAGACUGAUCUCAAACUCCUGGGCUCAAGGGAUAUUCCCACUUCAGCCCCACAAAGUGCCGAGAUUAGUGGUGUGAGCCACUAAGUCUUGAUUAUCUAUUGCUAUUUAAAUACUGUUUUAAAAGUUUCUUUUACACAUACAACAUCAAGAGCCUCACUCACUGAUCUCUUAAUCCUCUAAGACAUAUCACCUUUUUUAAAAAAUUAGAGAAACCCCAUCUUCUACUAAAAAUACAAAAUUAGCCAGGCGUGGUGGCACAUGCCUGUAAUCCCAGCUACUCAGGAGGCUGAGGCAGGAGAAUCGCUUGAACCUGGGAGGCAGAGGUUGCGGUGAGCCAAGAUUGCACCAUUGCACUCCAGCCAGGGCAACAAGAGUGAAACUCCGUCUCAACAACAACAACAACAACAACAAAAUUAGAGAUAGGGUCUCACUCUGUCGCCGAGGGUGGAGUACAGUGGUGCAAUCACAGCUCACUGUAACCUCAAAUUCCUAGGCUCAAAUGAUUCCCCCAUCUCAGCCUCCCAAGGAGCUGGGAUAACAGAUGUGCACUGUCAUGCCCGGUUAUUAAUAUUAUUAUUUUUUGGUAGAGACAGGGUUCUUGCUAUGUUGCCCAGCCUGGUCUCAAGGGAUCCUCCAAGGCCUCUCAAAGUGCUAGGAUUACAGAUGUGAGCCACCAUGCCCGGCCUGACACAUUUCCUUAGCAAUAUCUAACACUGUGGGAUUUGUUUAAAAACCUUUCCUCACAGAGAGAUGCUCCAUAGGCAUUUCACAUUGUUUUACAUAUUUUUAGAAAAUCCUGCCUGGUUCCUUUAAUCUUCCAUGCAUUUCUAUUCUACGGAGACAAUAAAAGUGCAUGUUCUCUUUAUUCCUGUUGAUUACUUACUCCCUAAAAACCUGAUGGGAACUCAUACCUGAAUGUUCCAACCUCCACUACUGUCCCACCGGACCCUGACUGUGAGAAGCUGCGUGUCAGGGAGAUCCUCUCAAAUACAGUUUACUGGAUCUCUCUUUGUGCGAUUCCCAUUUCAAUCUGUAACCUAUGAAAACGCACUUUAAGAGCCACAAGAAAUGUACUCAUGUGAUUGUUCACAGUGAAAACAAGAAAACAUUCUUCUUUCUUCUCCCUAGGGAAAGCUAGGAGCCUAAAUGUUGCUAUCCUCACACUAAAUGAUCUAACAACAGAGGGUUAACACAAGAAGAAAAAGAUAAGAAACUAUCCUUUCCGACAGUCUCUGAUUUUAUUAUGAAAUCAACCCCCCAAAAAUUGGGAUCUUGGAUUUUUUUCCUGAGAAAAUAGGUAAAGAACAUUUUCUUUUCUUUCGCCUUUUCUAAUUUGCCUUUGUGCUCUUGACCCAAGAAACGGUAUCUGAUUACCUAUCAGAGAGAAUAAUAAACCUAAAUUGAUGACUGACAUUUUAACAGACUGAACAGCAAUAUUUCACCACUGAAAUCCUGGACAAUUUUCUAAGAGCUCUUUUUACAAGUAGGCUUCAUAAAUAGCCAGGACAUUGAGGAUUUAAUUAUGAAAUCAGAAUGCUUGAUUCACGACCCUCUUUUCAGAGCCAAAUACCUCUUCAUUCUCAGACUCACUGUCUUGAAAGUGCAAUCACAAGCACUUACCUUGUUUAUUUCCCAGUCUUCCUCCAACUUUUCCACUGCAGCUGAUUCCUGAGUAGACUCCUGCACAUCAGAAGUGGCCUGC
rnacentral:lncRNA from 1 species